GAUGAACGCUGGCGGCGUGCCUAAUACAUGCAAGUCGAGCGAGCGGCGGACGGGUGAGUAAUGUCUGGGAAACUGCCUGAUGGAGGGGGAUCACUACUGGACCCGGUAGCUAAUACCGCCUACCCUCCGCUGUGCCCAGAGGGGAUUAGCUAGUAGGUGGGGUAAUGGCUCACCUAGGCGACGAUCCCUAGCUGGUCUGAGAGGAUGACCCGCCACACUGGAACUGAGACACGGUCCAGACUCCUACGGGAGGCAGCAGUGGGGAAUAUUGCACAAUGGGCGCAAGCCUGAUGCAGCCAUGCCGCGUGUGUGAAGAAGGCCUUCGGGUUGUAAAGCACUUUCAGCGAGGAGGCGUGACGAGCAGAAGAAGCACCGGCUAACUCCGUGCCAGCAGCCGCGGUAAUAC
rnacentral:rRNA from 1 species